CCUACGGGUGGCAGCAGUGAGGAAUAUUGGUCAAUGGGCGCGAGCCUGAACCAGCCAAGUCGCGUGAGGGAAGACGGUCCUAUGGAUUGUAAACCUCUUUUGUCGGGGAGCAAAAGACGCCACGCGUGGCGUUCCGAGAGUACCCGAAGAAAAAGCAUCGGCUAACUCCGUGCCAGCAGCCGCGGUAAUACGGGGGAUGCGAGCGUUAUCCGGAUUUAUUGGGGUAAAGGGGUGCGCAGGGGGAAGAUCAAGUCAGCGGUAAAAUUGUGAGGCUCAACCUCUUCGAGCCGUUGAAACUGGUUGUCUUGAGUGAGCGAGAAAUAUGCGGAAUGCGUGGUGUAGCGGUGAAAUGCAUAGAUAUCACGCAGAACUCCGAUUGCGAAGGCAGCAUACCGGCGCUCAACUGACGCUCAUGCACGAAAGUGUGGGUAUCGAACAGGAUUAGAUACCCCUGUAGUC
rnacentral:rRNA from 1 species